rnacentral:rRNA from 1 species
GACGAACGCUGGCGGCGUGCCUAAUACAUGCAAGUAGAACGCUGAAGGAGGAGCUUGCUUCUCUGGAUGAGUUGCGAACGGGUGAGUAACGCGUAGGUAACCUGCCUGGUAGCGGGGGAUAACUAUUGGAAACGAUAGCUAAUACCGCAUAAGAGUAGAUGUUGCAUGACAUUUGCUUAAAAGGUGCAAUUGCAUCACUACCAGAUGGACCUGCGUUGUAUUAGCUAGUUGGUGGGGUAACGGCUCACCAAGGCGACGAUACAUAGCCGACCUGAGAGGGUGAUCGGCCACACUGGGACUGAGACACGGCCCAGACUCCUACGGGAGGCAGCAGUAGGGAAUCUUCGGCAAUGGACGGAAGUCUGACCGAGCAACGCCGCGUGAGUGAAGAAGGUUUUCGGAUCGUAAAGCUCUGUUGUAAGAGAAGAACGAGUGUGAGAGUGGAAAGUUCACAAUGUGACGGUAUCUUACCAGAAAGGGACGGCUAACUACGUG